UUGACCUCAAAUCGGGUGAGACUACCCGCUGAACUUAAGCAUAUCAAUAAGCGGAGGAAAAGAAACUAACAAGGAUUCCCCUAGUAACUGCGAGUGAAGCGGGAAAAGCUCAAAUUUAAAAUCUGGCGGUCUUUGGCCGUCCGAGUUGUAAUUUAGAGAAGCGUCUUCCGCGCCGGAC
rnacentral:rRNA from 1 species